AUUGAACGCUGGCGACAUGCCUUACACAUGCAAGUCGAACGGCAGCACGGGUGCUUGCACCUGGUGGCGAGUGGCGAACGGGUGAGUAAUACAUCGGAACAUGUCCUGUAGCGGGGGAUAGCCCGGCGAAAGCCGGAUUAAUACCGCAUACGAUCUACGGAUGAAAGCGGGGGACCUUCGGGCCUCGCGCUAUAGGGUUGGCCGAUGGCUGAUUAGCUAGUUGGUGGGGUAAAGGCCUACCAAGGCGACGAUCAGUAGCUGGUCUGAGAGGACGACCAGUCACACUGGGACUGAGACACGGCCCAGACUCCUACGGGAGGCAGCAGUGGGGAAUUUUGGACAAUGGGCGAAAGCCUGAUCCAGCAAUGCCGCGUGUGUGAAGAAGGCCUUCGGGUUGUAAAGCACUUUUGUCCGGAAAGAAAUCCUUGGCCCUAAUACGGUCGGGGGAUGACGGUACCGGAAGAAUAAGCACCGGCUAACUACGUG
rnacentral:rRNA from 1 species